rnacentral:rRNA from 1 species
CCCGCACAAGCGGUGGAGCAUGUGGUUUAAUUCGAAGCAACGCGAAGAACCUUACCAGGUCUUGACAUCCUUUGACCACUCUAGAGAUAGAGCUUUCCCUUCGGGGACAAAGUGACAGGUGGUGCAUGGUUGUCGUCAGCUCGUGUCGUGAGAUGUUGGGUUAAGUCCCGCAACGAGCGCAACCCUUAUUGUUAGUUGCCAUCAUUUAGUUGGGCACUCUAGCGAGACUGCCGGUGACAAACCGGAGGAAGGUGGGGAUGACGUCAAAUCAUCAUGCCCCUUAUGACCUGGGCUACACACGUGCUACAAUGGGAAGUACAACGAGUCGCUAGACCGCGAGGUCAUGCAAAUCUCUUAAAGCUUCUCUCAGUUCGGAUUGCAGGCUGCAACUCGCCUGCAUGAAGCCGGAAUCGCUAGUAAUCGCGGAUCAGCACGCCGCGGUGAAUACGUUCCCGGGCCUUGUACACACCGCCCGUCACACCACGAGAGUUUGUAACACCCGAAGUCGGUGAGGUAACCUUUUUGGAGCCAGCCGCCUAAGGUGGGAUAGAUGAUUGGGGUGAAGUCGUAACAAGGUAGCCGUAUCGGAAGGUGCGGCUG